rnacentral:lncRNA from 1 species
CAGGGGGGCAGGUGUACCUUAAUGCAUGGAGUCAACCUCAGGUGUGACCUCUAGCCCACAGCAGCAGCAGCGGAGAACUCACGUUCUUCUCAGAGAAAGGAAAGAAGGGCAGAGCUGAAUCAAGCCUGCCCAGUUGUGCUCCCGAGAAGCACCUGUGCCCAGGCAGUGAGUGAAACUCCUAGAAGGAAGCAUCAGGGGAGGGGGGCAGCAUUCUCUGUCUUAGGAGAACAGACUCGUAAAGUGUGAGAGGUAGUUGCCUUGCCGUCUUGCUCAGAUGUCUUCAAGUCCUCACGUUUGCAUCCCCAACUUUAUUCUGCAGAAGAAAGCAGCCAAUGAUAUCUCAACCCCAUCUUUAAUGGCCAGUUCAUCACACUAAGGGGAAGGAGAUGUUUGAUUUUGUCUGAAUGCAAAAAGUUCAGUAGAUCCUAGAGGAAGCCUCCAGAGACUUGUUACAGAGCAAAGAAGAGGUUCUAAGGUGGAUGGGAAUCUUCACCCCCACAGAGAAGGAUGUGUGUCCAUGAGGAAAGGUGCCUUAAAAAUACUGGCCGAAUCAAAGCAAACAAGUGAACUUGAAAAUGGACCACAAAGAAAGAUGAACACAUUGCCCUGGAUGAACACAUCCUUCGGUGAGUUGAUAAGAUGUGCUCUUGCCUGAGGUCUCCACAGGAUGCUACCCGUGGAGGAAAGUGAUAGUCCUUCCUGAAGGGACCACUCAGCAUCAUCUUAUAUAACAUGUGAACAGGGCUGUAAUGCAGUGGAAGCUUAUAAAUGAUCUUGCUGUAUAAAGUAGCCUUGUUUGCCUGCACUGGACACUAAGCUAUGCAGAGUUUGUGUUAGGAAAGCAGCCCUGACACCAAACAUUUGAUCUGUCAAUUUAGUCUUGGAUUUUGGGAAUUUUCUCCACAUCCACUUCACGAGAAAGGCCAUUGCGUCACUACCAAGUGUUGAGUACAUUUUGAAAGGCACUUGAACCUUACAAGUCUCCCCUCUGCAGAUCUGUGCGUGAAUGACACAAACUGGAGAGCCUAAGAAGGGUGAGCCAAGGCAGAUGCUUUACAGUUGAACUUAAAAGGCAAUUCUGAGGAUCACUUAAAAAACCAAAACUAAAUAUAGAACAACCAUAUCACCCAGCAAUCCCACUUCUGGGCAUAUAUCUGGACAAAACUAUAAUUAAUAGAGAUCCAUGCACCCUGAUGUUCAUUGCAGUACUAUUCACAAUAGCCAAGACACAGAAGCAACCAAAAUG